GCAAUCUAAAACUGGCACGAGCCAAUCCGGUGGUGUUUCGCUCUAUGCUGGGGAUCAGCUGGAUGUGGUUCUUUGGCGCGGUAUUUUUAAGUCAGUUUCCCAGUUUUGCCAAAGAAGUACUG
rfam:Oblitimonas alkaliphila strain E5571 chromosome.